rnacentral:rRNA from 1 species
UACAGAGGUCUCAAGCGUUGUUCGGAUUCAUUGGGCGUAAAGGGUGCGCAGGCGGCGCGGUAAGUCGGGUGUGAAAUCUCGGAGCUUAACUCCGAAACUGCAUUCGAUACUGCCGUGCUUGAGGACUGGAGAGGAGACUGGAAUUUACGGUGUAGCGGUGAAAUGCGCAGAUAUCUGGAGGAACACCGGUGGCGAAGGCGGCAUCCUGGACCGGUAUUGACGCUGAGGAGCGAAAGCCAGGGGAGCAAAGCGGG